GAUGAACGCUGGCGGCGUGCCCAAUACAUGCAAGUCGAGCGAACAGAUGAGGAGCUUGCUCCUCUGACGUUAGCGGCGGACGGGUGAGUAACACGUGGAUAACCUACCUAUAAGACUGGGAUAACUUCGGGAAACCGGAGCUAAUACCGGAUAAUAUAUUGAACCGCAUGGUUCAAUAGUGAAAGACGGUUUUGCUGUCACUUAUAGAUGGAUCCGCGCCGCAUUAGCUAGUUGGUAAGGUAACGGCUUACCAAGGCAACGAUGCGUAGCCGACCUGAGAGGGUGAUCGGCCACACUGGAACUGAGACACGGUCCAGACUCCUACGGGAGGCAGCAGUAGGGAAUCUUCCGCAAUGGGCGAAAGCCUGACGGAGCAACGCCGCGUGAGUGAUGAAGGUCUUCGGAUCGUAAAACUCUGUUAUUAGGGAAGAACAAAUGUGUAAGUAACUAUGCACGUCUUGACGGUACCUAAUCAGAAAGCCACGGCUAACUACGCG
rnacentral:rRNA from 1 species